AGUCGAACGCAACCUUCGGGUUGAGUGGCGGACGGGUGAGUAACGCGUGAGAAUCUGCCUUGGGGUCGGGGACAACCACUGGAAACGGUGGCUAAUACCGGAUAAGCCUUUGGGUAAAAGAUUAUUGCCCCAAGAGGAGCUCGCGUCUGAUUAGCUAGUUGGUGAGGUAAAAGCUCACCAAGGCAGCGAUCAGUAGCUGGUCUGAGAGGACGAUCAGCCACACUGGGGCUGAGACACGGCCCAGACUCCUACGGGAGGCAGCAGUGGGGAAUUUUCCGCAAUGGGCGAAAGCCUGACGGAGCAAGACCGCGUGAGGGAGGAAGGCUCUUGGGUUGUAAACCUCUUUUCUCAGGGAAGAAGCUCUGACGGUACCUGAGGAAUCAGCCUCGGCUAACUCCGUGCCAGCAGCCGCGGUAAUACGGAGGAGGCAAGCGUUAUCCGGAAUUAUUGGGCGUAAAGCGUCCGCAGGUGGCGAUUCAAGUCUGCUGUCAAAGCACGGGGCUUAACUCCGUUAAGGCAGUGGAAACUGAAUAGCUAGAGUGCCGUAGGGGUAGAGGGAAUUCCCGGUGUAGCGGUGAAAUGCGUAGAGAUCGGGAAGAACAUCGGUGGCGAAAGCGCUCUACUGGACGGCAACUGACACUCAGGGACGAAAGCUAGGGGAGCGAAUGGGAUUAGAUACCCCAGUAGUCCUAGCUGUAAACGAUGGAUACUAGGUGUAGCUUGUAUCGACCCGAGCUGUGCCGAAGCUAACGCGUAAAGUAUCCCGCCUGGGGAGUACGCACG
rnacentral:rRNA from 1 species